rnacentral:tRNA from 1 species
GGUGGCACAGUGGUUAAGCGUUUGGCUGCUAAUCAAAAGGUCGGUGGUUCAAAUCCACCAGCCA